AAUGACAAUCUCCUUAGCCCGGUUGUAACUAGAUAGUUUUGUUUUGAAUCAUCCGUAAGAUGUCGUUAGUGGUAGAAUUUUGUCGAAAUCUUAAAUUAUUGCAUAAUCCAUUUUGAAAGAAGACGUUGCGAGUUUACUUGCUAACGUAGUAGUACUAACGAAUAAUCACUAGAUGGCAAUAGUGAGCGCCAUUAGUUGGGAACGUGUGAUGUUUUCCACUUUACGUAAACCUAUAAGUACCUACUAUUAAUAAAAAACUUACUAAUAAAAAAAAUACGCUCUUUUCAAUAAAGAUUUUUAUAUUAUUGAACACUAUUUUCCUUCCUAUUAUAUUAGUAAAAAGAUACUUAGUCAAUUGAAAUGGAAACAAUAAAUAUAAUAUAUAAAAUUACAAAAGGAACAAACAGCUUAAAACAGAACGUAAUAAUGUUCGAUGCGUAGGUAGGUUUGAAAAAACAAUUUUUAUGCGUUCUUUGGUUUCCUUGCGAAUCGCAUAUGUCUCGUGUUUUCCUAUCGUUUUCGUACUGUUUUGACCCCUGCUAUCCCCUGGACUCCGUUUUCGACUACUUAUCUACUGACUUGUGCAUACUGUGAUUAAUUGACUCCGAUUUACGCCCAACGCAAUAAAAUGACAAAGUGCGCAUAUCAUAAUUGUGAAAAUACGCAUCGAGACAUUUCAAUGUUUCGAUUUCCAGUGCACGAUAAAGAUCGACUGCUUCUAUGGAUCAUACAUUCAGGAAACUCAACCCUGACCUCACUAACGGAUAGUGAGCUGAGAAACCAAUACAUAUGUGCUGCACAUUUUCACCUGUCGUGUAUUCACAAAUGUGAAACUUAUAGUAGGCUGUUGGGGCCAGCUGUACCAAUUCAUUAUAAAACUACUCAGUCAUCAAAAUGUGGAUCAACCCAGAAACCCGCUUCUAACACCAAUGAUCCUACGGAAACAACUGUGCCAAUGGAUGGUACAACAGAUGAGCCAAUCGAUGCUGGGCUUAUGUAUUUUGAUCCUCGUGUUCUUUCUCCAAAGGUGUUAAAAGUAUUGACACCACACAAAACUUACAAAAAAAAAAAAAAUACAUCAUGAACGGGAGGAAGAGGAUAUGGAUGAGUCAAGCUCAUCGGAUUUUUCUGUAUCUGGAGCAUUUUCAAUGCCAACCCCCACGACAAGUCGUAUGUCAAGAAAAUCUCUCUUUGAGGGCGGCCCGAAGGAAAGGCUUUCGAGAAAAUGCCUCUUUGAGGAAGAAAAACGUUUUAAACAAGACCAACGUUUAAAAGGACUAAUAAAAAAAAAUAAAGCACUAAGAGCAAAGGUUCGACGAUUAAAAUCAAAAAGACCGGAAAAAGCGUAUCUUAAUUUGGAAAACAUGAAAUUCCGGAGUGAUGUUGCCAAAACAUUAACUUUGAUGCAAUUGCGGAAAAAAACAGAUAAAAAAAGUGGACUGAAGAGGAAAAAAAUUUUUGCCUUUCAUUGUUUUAUAAAUCCCCUUCAGCCUACCAAUUUUUACGAAGACAAGGAGUUGUUCUUGCUGCCCCAUCAACCAUUAGAUCGUGGCUAUCAAAAACGAAUUGUUUACCAGGCUUUUCCGCAGAUAUUUUUAAUCAACUGUCCAAAAAAUUUGAACAUGCA